CCUACGGGAGGCAGCAGUGGGGAAUAUUGGGCAAUGGAGGCAACUCUGACCCAGCAACGCCGCGUGAAUGAUGAAGGUCUUCGGAUUGUAAAGUUCUUUUCAAAGGGAAGAAGAAAGUGACGGUAGCUUAGGAAUAAGCCUCGGCUAACUACGUGCCAGAAGCAGCGGUAAUACGUAGGAGGCAAGCGUUAUCCGGAAUGACUGGGCGUAAAGGGUGCGUAGGCGGUUUUAUAAGUUAGAGGUGAAAAUUAGGGGCUCAACGCCGGACGUGCCUCUAAUAAUGUAUGACUAGAGAACAGUUGCGGUAGGCGGAAUGCAUGGUGUAGCGGUGAAAUGCGUAGAGAUCAUACAGAACACCGAUUGCGAAGGCAGCUUACCAAACUAUAUCUGACGUUGAGGCACGAAAGCGUGGGGAGCAAACAGGAUUAGAUACCCUUGUAGUC
rnacentral:rRNA from 1 species